CGACAACUUUCUUCCUUGGCCUUUCUCUCGACGACUUGUAUUCAACAAAACCAUUCCUCUACAAACCGCGACCCCGACCAUGACUAUCACUCUUCGACAAACCCCGACCCCGACCGCAACCAUCACUCUUCGACAAUGCUAAGAUUAGAACCAACUCUGUUUCAAGGGUUCUUCAAAUCCCUUCCCUUCCCGUCCCAUCGCUUCAGGGUUAUUCCCUUCCCAUUGCUGUAGGGUUCUUCAGAUCUAUUGGCGGUGGUGAUUGUUGCUUUAUUUGGUUGCUUGUUGCUUCGAUUGGCUUCGGCGGUGGUGUUGGCUUCGAUUCGGCAGUGGUUGUAGCUUUGGAGGCGGUGGUUGGUCUCAUGAGAGGUUGAAAUUGAGUUCUGGCGACUGUAAAUCUGAAUCGAACUCUCAAAUCAAUUUUGUUCUGAGGCAGCAUAUGUACCUUUCCUUCAACAACGACGAGGCCAGAUCCCCAUUCAUUCUUUGCUGAAUUCGAAAUCCCCAAUUUUCUAGGGUUUCAAUUUUCAACCUCAACCCCCAAACCAUGGUCUUAUUCAAGAAAGCUCAGGUAUCCCAUCAUAGGUCAUGGACUAACCUUGGAGUUAUGACAGCUUCUCAGCGCAAUAUAAGGUGUGGGAUGCAACUGCAGCUGAUCCUAAAUUGCUGGUCUUUUUGAAAUCGUACAGGAAUUUCUUACACACUGAAUCUGGUAAUUAGAUCUACCUAUCUUUUCUAAUUCUACUCUGGUUUAGAUUAAUCAGU